GACGAACGCUGGCGGCGUGCUUAACACAUGCAAGUCGAGCGGUAAGGCCCUCGGGUACGACGAGCGGCGAACGGGUGAGUAACACGUGGGUGACCUGCCUUUAGCUCUGGGAUAAGCCUGGGAAACUGGGUCGUAAUACCGGAUAUGACCUCAUGAUGCAUGUUGUGGGGUGGAAAGCCUUGUGCGGCUGGAGAUGGGCCCGCGGCCUAUCAGCUUGUUGGUGGGGUGAUGGCCUACCAAGGCGACGACGGGUAGCCGGCCUGAGAGGGCGACCGGCCACACUGGGACGUGAGGACACGGCCCAGACUCCUACGGGAGGCAGCAGUGGGGAAUCUUGCGCAAUGGGCGAAAGCCUGACGCAGCGACGCCGCGU
rnacentral:rRNA from 1 species